UAUACCGAAUUUAAGUAAAGCCAGUAGUAAGCUCUGGCUUUCAUACGGAGGCAGUAUUACCCCUAAGGGAGUAAGAAUUGUUGUUUGAUAUCAAACAGGCAUAAAAAAAGCGCCCGUAGGCGCUUUUUUA
rnacentral:sRNA from 1 species